rnacentral:rRNA from 1 species
GUCUGAGAGGAUGGUCAGCCACACUGGGACUGAGACACUGCCCAGACUCCUACGGGAGGCUGCAGUCGAGGAUCAUUCGCAAUGCGCGAAAGCGUGACGGUGCGACGCCGCGUGCAGGAUGAAGGCCUUCGGGUUGUAAACUGCUGUCAUGAGGGAACAAUGUCCAAAAUAUUAACACUAUUUUGGGGUGAUAGUACCUCAAGAGGAAGCCACGGCUAACUCUGUGCCAGCAGCCGCGGUAAUACAGAGGCGGCGAGCGUUGUUCGGAUUUACUGGGCGUAAAGGGUGCGUAGGCGGUUUUGUGUGUCAGAUGUGAAAUAUCACAGCUCAACUGUGGAAUUGCAUUUGAAACUACAGGGCUGGAGUACAGGAGAGGAGAGCGGAAUUCUCGGUGUAGCGGUGAAAUGCGUAGAUAUCGAGAGGAACACCGGUGGCGAAGGCGGCUCUCUGGACUGAUACUGACGCUGAGGCACGAAAGCUGGGGGAGCAAACAGGAUUAGAUACCCUGGUAGUCCCAGCCUUAAACGGUGUGCACUUGGUGUAGGGAGGAUUGUCCCUUCCCGCGCCGGAGCUAACGCGUUAAGUGCACCGCCUGGGGAGUACGGUCGCAAGAUUAAAACUCAAAGGAAUUGACGGGGGCCCGCACAAGCGGUGGAGCAUGUGGCUUAAUUCGAUGCACGCGAAGAACCUUACCUGGACUUGACAUGCUGGUAGUAGGAGCCUGAAAGGGCAACGACCCUGCAAGGGGAGCCAGCACAGGUGCUGCAUGGCUGUCGUCAGCUCGUGCCGUGAGGUGUUAGGUUAAGUCCUGCAACGAGCGCAACCCUUGUGAUUAGUUGCUAUGUUCGAUGAUGAAUUGGACAGCACUCUAAUCAGACUGCCUGUGAAAAGCAGGAGGAAGGUGGGGAUGACGUCAAGUCAGUAUGGUCCUUAUGUCCAGGGCUGCACACGUGCUACAAUGAUCGGUACAAAAGGAUGCAAAGCCGCGAGGUGGAGCAAAUCCAAAAAAAACCGAUCUCAGUUCAGAUUGAAGGCUGCAACUCGUCUUCAUGAAGCUGGAAUCGCUAGUAAUGGCACAUCAGCUACGGUGCCGUGAAUACGUUCCCGGGCCUUGUACACACCGCCCGUCACAUCAUGAGAGUCGACUGCACCCGAAGUCGUCUAUACAACCUGCAAAGGAGAAAGACGCCGAAGGUGUGGUUGAUGAUUGGGAUGAAGUCGUAACAAGGUA